GGAGUCGGCAGGAUGGGGUGGGGGUCUGUGCCAUCUUGGGCCGGUUACUCAACUCCUCUGAGCUUUAGCUUCCUGGUUUGAAAAGAGAGUCCCAGUUGGUUCUAAACCUCGGCUGACCGCAUCUUCCACAUCAUGAGGUCCAGGCCCUGAAGGCAGUUGGACAGACUCGCAGAAAUGGAGAAGAACGGCGCCAAGCGCCAGUGGAGAACCAGCCCGGCUGGACUAAAGUGUGCGUGAGCCACACCGGAGGUUUCGGGAACAGUAUCAGCUUAGACCAAGGGACCUGGACGAGCCCCAGCUCACGGGAUCACGAUUCUGGGCAGGACCUCUGCAGACGAAUGCUUGCAAGUCUACGUUUGUGUAAGAACAUCUCUUUUAUCCAGGGCUCAGAAAAACAAACAGCUCCCCGCCCCCCCCCCCCCCCCCCAGCCUGGAAGGGGAGAAGUGGAGGGCGCUGUGUUAAGGACGCAUUUGAAGAUGGGGUCGUGGGAGAUGGAGCUGGCUGGCUUGCUUCUAAGAAAUGGCUGUUGGGGGAGACUUAGCGACGGCCAUGCGUCCUGAGUGGGCCAAGAGGGUAGAGGCUUAUGGCCCAGGAGGGGUGAGAGGCAAGAACGUGAGCAUUUCAGUGAAUCAGUACGUCACUGGCUCAUUCACACGAGGGGGAGGCUUGGAAGAAGGGAGCCCGUUAGGUUCUCUGCACCUGCAAACGGAAUUGCUGAGAACCAGACCCGGAAAUAAAGCAUAGUCCCCGGA